AGCUCAGUGUAGAAAAAAAAAAAAAUGAAUC
rnacentral:tRNA from 1 species